UACGUAGGGGGCAAGCGUUGUCCGGAUUCACUGGGCGUAAAGGGUGCGUAGGUGGCCAGGUAAGUUUGGUGUGAAAGCUCGGAGCUUAACUCCGAAAAGUCAUUGAAUACUAUCUGGCUGGAGGGUCGGAGGGGAGACUGGAAUUCUCGGUGUAGCAGUGAAAUGCGUAGAUAUCGAGAGGAACACCAGUGGCGAAGGCGGGUCUCUGGGCCGAUAUUGACGCUGAGGAGCGAAAGCGUGGGGAGCGAACAGG
rnacentral:rRNA from 1 species